GACUGGGUCACAUGCACCUUGGAAACUUGGUAAGCUCAUUUUCUUAAUUUUCUGGGGUAUACAUACACAAUGUUUAUGUAUGUACAGCAUCUUGAUAAAGACCUUAUAUAGGUCAAAAAUUUGAAUUUUCCACAUGCGAAUUUGAAUACACUUUAUUGAUUGAUUGAUUGAUUGAAAAUCCAGCGAGUGCUCUCAUAAUUUCCUUGGAUUAUAUAUACAGCGCAGUGCAGCACCCUGGUUUGAGUACGCUAUUUGGUAUCGAUUUUUGGGCAGAGUGCCAGUUUAUUUGUGUUUUGUGUAUAUAUAUAUAUAUUUGUUUUGUUUUUUAAUGCAAAUAAAUUAAUAUAUAAAAUAUUACAUAAACUAUAUUUAAUCUGCAGUCUAGAGUGAUGCUAGAUCACAUUAAUUUAGGCCUGAAAAGCAAAUCUAAAAAUCUUCAAUUUGAUUUUUAAUAGACCAAAUUCUUCUGCUCUGUUUGUUUUUAAUUUAUAGAUCUGUAUUACAAUUAUGCUUUUUUUUUUUUUUUACAACAUUGUGAACUAGAACACAUUUCCUAUUGAUGAUAUAUAACAUUAAUAACUAUGUAAAUAUUCUGUUCAGUUUCAAUGAGAGCUCCCCUGACUAUAAGUAACACAUUCUUAUUACUUACUAAAUUAUUACAUGAAGCUGAUAAUAUUUUGGGAUAAAAACAUUUUAAUACUACUAAAUUAAUUGAAAUAAAAAUGUGUUAGUUAAUUUACUUUCAUUAGAAGUUUGUUUUGUGACUAUAAAUUUGGAAAAGUAAUUAAAGGGCCACCCUGACAACUAGAUCUCAAUGAAAUGAGUCUGGUUGCAGUAGCCCUGUAGUUUUUACUCUGCAGUAUAAAACAUUGCAGUUUUUGUGAAAAAUUGAGGGUUUACAUUGAAUGGUUAAACACAGCUCUAGUGGCUGUAUUCCUGACAGACACUAAAAAUGACUCCUCUACAACUCAGUCAUGUGUCCUAUGGAAAUUGGUUCUCUAUGAGAAGCACUUGGAUGCACGUAUGGCCCUCGCUCACGCAUAUCAGUCCACAAUGCUCCUUCGUGUGGCAGAACCGAAAACUGUCAGGGCUGGUCAAAAGGUAAGUAAAAAGCUUAUUUUUUUCAGCUUUUUACUGGAAACAAUGAAGCAGGCACUAGGACACUAUAAUGUUAAGAAUACAAAUCUGUAUUCCUAAUGCCAUAGUCUUCCAUUAAGUUUUUCCUAAAAGUACAAUAAAAUAGACUUUUGGAAUUUUGAAGUGUGCCAUGGAAUUAAAAUACGACAAAAUAAAAAUUAAAUUCCCCUUAUUACAUAAUUGAAUAAGACCUUUUGCUCCAUAAUUAAAAUGUAAAGUUAAUUGUCAGAUUGAACGAGAUGGCACAUUUCAGUCACACGAGCAGUUAAUCCACAUUCAUAGAGUUAUGUGGAUUGGGCAAUGUGCCAGAAUAAAAGAUCUGGAGUAGCUGAGAGAGUCUGAAUGUGCUGGGAAAUAUCUGUUCAAACAGGAUUUUUGGAUGUCGAAAUCGACUGCCACUCCUCCCACUCUGAAAGAGAACUAUUUUGAAUCUGAUACGCUGGAUAAAGAGACAGACCGCAUGAGCCAGUAGUCAAGAUCCAUGUCUGCCCAAAACAACUGGAAGCUGAAGUGGACCUUCACAGGAGCCAUCUGCCAGACCCUCAUCCACAGUAAGAGGCUGCUGUCUUACUAUAAAUCACUGUUGCCUAUUGUGACUGUGUUGGAGGACUUACUGUUGCAGAUAACAUGUAAUUGUCCUCUAUAGUCUCCAUGGUAUUGUAAAAUAUCAACUACUUGGCUCCCCUCACUUCUUCUCUCACUCAGUCUUUUUGCCUUUGAGAUGUAACCAAGGUUUUUUUUUUUUUUUAAAUCAGUCUGUUCCUAUUUAAGGAAACCACUGACUAAGGAUUCUUAAUUACUAACUCAGUGUGUGCUCUGCUUUGACUUCUAUAUGCUACUGCUGUGCUAAUAUCAGUGCUGCCCUGAUAGAGAUUUGUCAGACAUCUUGAAAUAUAGGGACAUACUAAAAGGAAUGACAGAUUGGAAUGCCCAUAGACUUUAACAAGGCAAUCUGUCAUUCCUUUUAGUAUGUCCCUGAAAUAUAUGCUAGUGCCAGAUUGCAGUAGACACAAUUCAUUAAUGGAAGCGUUGGGAGGAAGUAAUCUCAGAUCGCUUCCUCCUUAUGGUAAAGGAGAAACCACGCUGAAUGAGAGCAGCACUCUGAAGUUCCUGCCCUUUCCCUGGACUCAGGUAGUCUUGUCCCAUCUGGACCUCAGGGAAACAACCUCCUUCUGCUAAAUGGUAAGCAAAAAGGAUGGUGGGUAAAGUAACUGGGUCAAUGUGUCUGGCAGUGUGUAGUGGGUUGUGUGUCUUGCUGUGUGUAUUGAGCUGUGCAUGUGUCUGGCAGUGGUUACUGGUGUGUGUAUCCCCAGAGAAUGGAUAAAUGUAUUUAUGUGUGUAUGUGUGUGUGUGAUUGUCUUUGCCUGGGAGCCUUUGACAGAGAUGCACACAGACAGAUGCACCAGAAGCCUGUAUACAUACGUACAUACAUGCAAUUAUAUACAGGCUAUACGCAAACACACAUAGCUUCACAAGCAGCUUACACAAACACAACAUGAUUGUUAUUAUUAUUAUGAUUUAUAUAGCACCAACAAAAAAACCCCAUAGGAUCAGCAUCCCAUGGGACUUCAGAGUCUUAUUUUGGCACUAUGCUGGGAUGAGGGUGCCUACCCCCUUCUCUAUACCAUGUGCUGAAUAAUGUUAAAAUAUAUCAGUGUAUGGGCUGUCCUUCAUAACAUGUGCUGUAUAUUGUUUUAAUGUUUUAGUUGUAUAUGCUGUGUAUUGUACAUGCUGCUAAUGUGUGAAUUGAAUAGGCAGAUCCUCUCUGGUGCUGCAAGCCCAGACCGGAAACACAGCAGAUACACUAUUUCCUAGGGAGACAUAAAUUAAUCUACAGCACAUGGAUUUGAACUAUGUGAGUGUCAGAUUGUUUUCUCUGUUAGUGGCAUGAAUCUAAAAAGGCCAUGUUUGAUGUUACCUGGGUACCUGGUGUGUCUGGUGAAUUCUCUGCCCCUUGUAUCAGGUAAAUCGCAACCAGAGGGACAGUGGUGAGUUCAUUCCAGCAGUGAGCAUUAGUCAUAGAAAAAAGGAGAGCACAGCAGUUGUUUGUUGCACUAUAAGACUAAUGUUCUAUAUGGAAUGUCUGCUUGCACAUGGAUCUCCUAUGGUUGCCAGAUGUUUUUUCCUGAACUAAAUGUGGUGCCCUGUUGUUAUGUAAAAUUCAAAUGUUGCAAGAGGGAAUUCUGUUAAUUAAUCAAUCAAGGACCUUGCAGCAUAUGAAAUCUACCUACAGCAGAGUAGUACCUUUUCACAUGUUGACCCAUUAGCAUGAAAUUAUAGGUGUCCAGAGAAACAUAUGUAGUACACCAAUAUUUCCAUUGAAGUCUGCACACGCUAGUAGCCCCAAAAUAGUGUCCCAGGUAAGUAAUACAAAAGUGCACAGUUUAUUAAAAAAUAGAUAGAGGAAACAUGAUGGAUCUGGAAACCCUGCAUGUAUUACUGUCUUUGAAUUACAACAUAUGUACAUAAUAAUAGGAAACAGAAGUAUGGGUAUCAUUCAUAACUCAAAUCAUUGGCAUCACUAGAGGGGAGCUGUCAGGGUUCCAGUCCCAAGCGUGGGGCAUCAUAGCCCCGAAUACUUUAGACUGCUUCUCUUCUAGGAGUUGUGGAUUGCCAUGGUAAUGGUACUUAGGUGAUGGUGCAGACCACCAGGACACAGCUGCAAUCUCUUAUUAAAUUCUGCCUGCUCUCCCUGCUCCUUUCCCAGACCAGGGCACUCUGUGGUACCUCUUCAGAGGAAGCUGAUUGGCAGCAGUGUAGGUAUAUGAGGGAUCCUGGGGAUAUGGCAGCAUGGGCCCCAUAAGCUAAUACUGAGCCCUUACCACCAAGUACACUAAGGCUUAGACUAGUCUAUUAACUUUCCCUUCAGGGUUUUGCAUUGUAACAACCAAACAGGGUCUGUCACUAAACUUCAAAUUCUGGUCUGGCACAGCAUGUAAAAUGUUAUCCAUUUACGUUGGCAACAAAUUCUACCAGUAUGAUUAUACAGACAUGCUGUGAAAGGCCACAACAGCAUACAUAAUAUCUGAGUUGCAGUUUUGUUUUGCCUAAGUGUUUGCAAAAUACAAAAGUAACUUUAAAAAAUAUAUAUUUUUAGACAUAGAUAAAGUUUUCUGGUGAAUGGUCGUAUUUAAAAUAAAAUUGCCAUAUAUGGAAUAGUAACUGGGCAAUGAUUCCAUGGUAGUUAUUUUUAUGUAAGUUUUUAAUGUUCUAUUACUAACAAUUUGAUGUUUGCAAAAUUAACCCUCACCCCUAGGAUGAUCAAAGUGGGACAUUGUGUGUUCCUUUCUGUAUAUUGGUUUGUUUAUUUUUAUAACAAGUGGAGAACUGGCAUCUUAAGGCCUGGAUGGCAAAUACAAACGGAUAUCCUUUUUUUGCUCAUGAAACUCAGUUCUCUGUGUGGAUGACCCUAUGCACAUAGAGAACAAGAUAUAUGAGUUUGACUGAUGGAGGAUGCUGGGAGUUUUUAGGUUUGACAUUAUUUAUCGCUGCAUCCUUUGCCAAUGUGAUCUUCACAGCAUAACCCUAGCAUUUACCAAGCUCUAUGCUUGCCUAAGGGACUCCAUGUGUCUCCUGUAAUUCCGUUGUCUAAUAAUAAGUAAUCUUUUAAGAAUUUCAUGAGCACUGUAUCAAGUUGCAAACACCUACAGUAAUAUAAUAUGUAUUCAACAUAGUCUGCCAGCUUUGAUCUCAUCUGAGAUCCGUUGGUAAAUAUCUAAUUCUGCACCUGGAGAGCACUGAGAUUGUUGAGCACCAUACCAAACAUAGUUGCACACAGUGCUGAGCUACCAAGGACCCUGCACAAUAUCUGCUUGCUGUCUUACUCCAGUGCCAGCAGGCAUCCAAAUGCACCUACAAACGCAUAUUCCUAACAUUAGAGUGUUCUGCAAUCUCUUUAGUUCAAGGCCAACAGAAGUUAAGGGACAGUAUAGGCACCCAAACCACUUCAGCUCAUUGAAGUGGUCUAGGUACAGUGCCCCCCAGUCAGUAUAACCCUGCAAUUGUCAUUAUUGCAGUUAUUGUUGCAGUUAUUAAUAAACUGUAAUAAUUUCAGGGUUAACUCCACCCCAGUGGCUGUCUAUCAUACAUAGAGUAGCUUUUGGGUUGUUAGGUGACUUUUGAUCACUUAACACACUCUAGAUGUCCUCACACUGUGCAUGAGGACAUCCAGUGUUGUCUAAAACCGCAUAGGAAAGCAUUGAUUCAAUGCUUUCCUAUACGGUAGUCCUAAUGCGCUCGCUGUUCGUGCGCACAAGAUACUCGACAACGGUUGAUGUCAGGGGUGAAGCCUGACCUAGCGCUAAGGAACAUCGCCCAACAUUGUAUUCCUAGCACUAUAGUUUCUCUUUACCAAAUGCAAAGGUCACCGCAGCUGCGGCUCCUCCCCUGGCUGAGAUGAUGAUCAUUGCUGCCCACAUGCUAGAAAAGACCCCAUCCAUGGGGAUGCGGUCUGUAAAAUAGCUGAAGGGGACAGGGACCUAGUGGGCAUCAGAUGGGGAUUACUCUAGUAUUAGUGGAUUAGGACCUAAUGUUCCCCGUGGCCCUUUCUUAGUAAAGAGAAACUCCAGGCAAAGGCUGAACUAUUUGUUAAUGUGUAAUAUAAUGUAGAACAUAUGGAAAACAUUGAUGAAUUUUAAAAUAUAAUGAAAAUAGAUAUAUUUUUUAAUCUUUAGGCUUUGCAGCUUCUGAAAUAAUCUCUUCCUAAAGCAUAACAGUAUCAUGUCUUUGCUAUAACUUUCUGAGUUUCUAAGAUUAUCUGAUAAAUCAGUUCACAGGCAUUUUAGAUGGCUAUAACAAAGGUCUCUUGGAGUUUUAAGUAAUACAAGUACUUGUAUGCGAGAGGAAAUCCUUACUUUACCUCUCUGGGACAUAUUCGAGUUAGGGUAAAUUUUGCGGGGUGGAAUUUUUCCCCAUAUGAGGUACUGUACUAGCAACAGUUACAUGGGCUUGCUUCCUUGUUCUAUAAUGUAAGCUAGAAACAUAAUUAUAGUGCUUGGAGUGUUCAUUUUAUGGUAAAAUAAUAAUUUAGGCCAGAGGAUAACAAUUUUAUAUAAAAACAUACAACCACCCUCGUCUAGAAAAAAACAUACAACCACCCUCCUCACUUCUAAAAUGAAUGAUCCGUGAGAAGUAUUGCAGUAAUUGCAGUAAUGUUAUUCCUUACUGUUUAAAUUCUACUGCUAAAUAUUUAGUGCUUGAUAAACAUUCUAAUAAGCUUUUUCAUCUUAACAAAUAGCACACUCAAGUUUGAGUUUCAAUGAGUCAAAACAUCUGUUUGUAGAGCCACUUGGGCUGGCAUGUAUAAAAGGGAUACCACUGCAGGUUACACACCACUUCCAUUGUAUUUCAUCUGGUAUACAAUACAAUGCGUUUUGUCCUUAAAUAAAAGCAAAUCAUCUUCCAUGUAUUUCAUUAGUUAACCAAAAAAAAACAUAUUUGCAGACACAAUUAACCCCUUCACUACCAUUGAUAUUAAUAAUAAAGGGGGGAGCUGGGGGGAUUGAGGCCCAAAUUAAUUAUACAAUUGGAGGGUUGGACAUGCCAUAAUAAUAUGGAUAUCUGAUUUAAAAAGUAUUCGCUUUAUACAGGCCUGGCACUGGAGGGAGGCCUAACCUUACUCCUGGUUUGCCGAAAUCUCUGCUAGUCUCCUGCACUUCUUGAUGCUGGAAACUGGCUGACCAUAAACUUCAUGUGAAACAUUAAUGCUAGGGCCCUGGGCUCCCUUAAUAAUUGCGGAUGCCAUCUUGACCUUAUUUGUUUUCACUUAUUUUUAUUUUGUAUACCUUAACUCUCACCUUAUGCAUUGCAGUUGUGUGACUGUGCAAGCGGUUCUAGUGGUCUUAUUUGUCACACGCUAGCCUAGACUGUUUUAAAGCAUUAUUAGUCUACUACGAGCCUUCCUGUCUAGAUAACCCUAGCCAUUUACAAGUAUAGCUUUUGUUUCAUAUUUAGAAGUGCAUGCCUCAUUAUAAAAAUUGUAAAUCUUGAAAUGCCAUACUAUUGUUAUGCUCUGUAAUUUAUUGAUAUUGCCAUCGCUGUUGGGACAUUGCAAGCUUCAAACAUUUUAACUAAAAAUUACAAAUAUAUAUUAGCAUAACUUUUAUUUGAAGCAAGGGAUGCACAGGUAGCAUGUAAACAAAUCACAACACAGCAAUUGUAUGUAUCAAUUGCUUUGCAGACAAACAGAACUAAAUUUAGAUAAUUUUUAUUUUCAUCCUUUAUAACAUUUUUGGGAAACGAAAAGCUUUAGACAGUAAAUAGUGACAUUUAUCUUGCAAUAUUUCACACAGGAUCUGAAAUUUUGAGAUAUUUGUUCCUCUACAGUGUGUUAAAAAUUCUCAAGGAAGCACUAUAGGGUAAGGAACACAAACAUGCAUUCCUGACCCUAUAGUGUUAAAACCACUAUCUAGCCCCUUGCCUCCCUAAAUAUAGUAAAAUCUUACUUGUAUUCAAGUUUGAACCUGCUUCCUUUGUCUGUGAACUUCCUCUGACCUCUGACAUCAUCAGAAGUGGUGGCCUGAUCCAAUCACAGUGCUUCCCCAUAGGAUUGGCUGAGACUGACAAGGAGUCAGAUCAGGGGCAGAGCCAGCAUGAUUCAAACACAGCCCUGGCCAAUCAGCAUCUCCUUAUAGAGAUGAAUUGAAACAAUGAAUCUCUAUGAGGAAAGUGCAGUGUCUGCAUGCAGAGGGAAGAGACACUGAAUGUUUGGAAGCAUUUUAGGCAGCCAUGACCCAGGAAGGAUCUCUAACAGCCAUCCGAGGAGUGGCCAGUGAAGUUAUCACUAGACUGUAAUGUAAACACUGCAUUUUCUCUGAAAAGACAGUGUUUACAGCAAUAAGCUUGAAGGUAAUGAUUCUACUCACCAGAACAAAUUCAAUAAGCUGUAGUUGUUCUGGUGACUAUAGUGUCUUUUUAAAGUAUAAAUGAGGUUGAGCUAUGCUUUAUGGACUAGAUUUUACACUGCAAAAUACAUGAAAAUACUUGAUUUGGGUAUUGAAGGGACUAAGAGUUGAUAAUUUUCCAGUGAAUGUUAAGGAGCUGUAAAUGAGUGGGGAUACUUUUGGCUGACUGCUUUUGAUGCCUUUCUGACAGAAGACACACAGUAUCUGCCAUAAUAAGAUCGGAUUUACUUAACUCUUUGUUGUGAAUUAGUUAAGCAAUAUUCACUGUAUACUGUACAUAGUAUGUAUUGGGUUAGGAUUAAAGAUGGCCUUGAAUGGGGUUUUCCAACAGAACAUUACCUAGGACACGGGUUCUUGCGUUUAGACUGGAAGAAGAUUGAGUCUAAGGCAAAGGAAAGUUUUUAGUUUUUUUUACUGUAAGAACAAUAAGGAUGUGGAAUUCUCUGCCUGAAUAAAUGGUUCUAUCAGAGUCCAUACUGAUGUUUAAACAGCAACUAGAUGCAGACUUGCAAAAACAGAAUAUUCAAGGAUCUAAUUUUUCAACUGUAGGGUAAAUGCUUUUUCAUCCAAGGAUAAAUCUGACGGCCAUUCUGGGGUCCAGAGGGAUUUUUUCCUAGUUUGUUGCAAAAUUGGAAGUGCUUCAAACAGUUUGUUUUUUUUGCCGUCUUUUGGAUCAACAGCAAACAACAAAUGUGAGGAAGGCUGAACUUAAUUGACACCUCUCUUUUCAGCCUAUGUAACUAUGUACUUAUUUGACCAAUGUAGGACUAAAAGCUGUUAUGUGUUGGCAUUGAUGUUUGCCUGAAGAACAUGUAAUACAAACAAAAGACUCAUGCCUUAUUCAUAUACAGAAAAACUUAAAAUUUAUCUCACUAAGUGAAGUGAAUAUUUCAAAUAGACCACCUGCUUGGAAGCAAAACUAACUUUAAUCUCAUUUAUUCACUUAUCAUACUGAGUCUUUUAAAGUGGUGCUGUCAUGAUUUUUAUUUUCUUCACUUUUCCUUUCUUUAUGCUGCUCAGCACUGUAUCUAUCAUGAGGCAAGCACAGCAUUUGCCUUGAAAAGCACUUUUCUUGGGGGCAGAAAAAACUAUACCCCUAAAUGCCUGCUCAGACGCAACCACAACUUUCACCAGGUCCCCCAUAUUGCACCUGUCAUGGGGCCCAAGAGUUAGCCUGCUGGCCACCAUAGAACCACCAGAGGUGGCUGUGUGCAAUGGAAGCGGGCAAUCAUCCUGAUCUUCUCCCUUGCGUGUUCUGCAGUGAUGCUGGGAGCUGUAAUAUUGCGCCACUCCGGCCCAGGUAUCACUAGACAGCGCGUGAUGGAUCAGAGGUAGGGAGGAUGGGUGGACAAAUUAAAAUAAUAAAAAAAAUAAACAAAUUUGUGUGUGUGUGUGGGAGUAUAGAUGUAUCUGUCAGUGAGUGUGUGUGUGCACCUGGCCAUCCACCUGAUCUAAAUGAAAAAGUGAUUCAUCAGGCUAGACAACCUUCUUCCAUUGCACCAUGGUCCAGUUCCAAUGCUCACGCCCCCAUUGAAGGUGAUUUCGGUGGUGGACAGGGGUCAUCAUGGGCACUCUAACCAGUCAGUGUCUAUGUGGUGCACACCCAUGUACCACAAACUGCAAAGUGAUGUGUGUUCUGCCACCUUUCUAUCAUGGCCAGCAUUAAGUCUUUCAGCAAUUUUAGCUACAGUAGGUCUUCCGUGUGAUUGAACCAGAUGGAUAAGCCUAUGCUCACCUCGUGCAUUAAUGAGCCUUGAGUGCCCAUAACUCUGAUGCCGGUUCACUGGUUGCCCUUCCUUGCACCACUUUUGGUAAACACUAACUACUGCAUACCAGAAUACCGGGUACACCCCAGAUGUCUUGCUGAUUUAAAGAUGCUCUGACCCAUCAGUCUAGUCAUCACUAUUUGGUCCUAGUCAAAGAUCCUAGCUAUCACUAUUUGGUCCUAGUCAAAGAUCCUAGCUAUCACUAUUUGGUCCUAGGCUAAGAUCCUAGCUAUCACUAUUUGGUCCUAGGCUAAGAUCUUUUCACAUGCCGAUUUUUCUGCUUUCAACACAUGAAAUUCAAGUACUAAUUAUUCACUUGCUACCUAAUAUAUCCCACUCCUUGACAGGAUAUAUAUAAACCAAGAAAGUUAUGGUAAGGAAAAAAGUGAUUUAAAACCCCUUCCACCUGAAGUCAGUGGAUAGUCAAUGCAUUGCUAAACACAGAUCUGCACACACCAGUCAAGUCAUAAGACUUGCUUUUCCCACAGAAAUGCAAAUGAGUUCAACAAAGAAUUACCCACCCAAAUAUCUCCCACUCCCCAUAUCUUCCUCUAACAGUUCCCACCCCCUGUUGCAACCAUAUCUUCCCCCAGUAUCCCCUCCCCACUCCAUCCAUAUCUUUCCCUUUCUUCCUGCACAAGCAGCAAUCAACUGACUUCCUCACAGAAUCUCAGUUAAAAUGUGGGAGACUCCCUCAACGUCCAGGAGAGUUGGGAUGUCUGCCUAGGUAUUCCCUAAGAAAGUAUUCUUAUGUAUAACUUAAAAACAAGGAGACAUAUGGGACAAAUAAGGAUAUUUUAAAUCUGCAGAGUAACAGCCCCACUUUCAUUUUGUGUUUUAUAAUUUUAGUCUGUGAGCACUGACUGUAGCCAAUAUUAUGAUUAAAAAUAACGUGAUCCAUUAUCAAGAAAAUUGCAUGAUUUUAUGUUCUUUUCUGUAGGUUAACAGAAUGCCACAGACCAUUAAUACUCUUCUUCUAACCCUAACUGUUCUGGCGUCAGGUAAAGCAACAG
rnacentral:lncRNA from 1 species